GAUCCUGGCUCAGGAUGAACGCUAGCUACAGGCUUAACACAUGCAAGUCGAGGGCAGCAUUAGAUUAGCUUGCUAAUUUAGAUGGCGACCGGCGCACGGGUGAGUAACGCGUAUCCAACCUUCCCCCUGCUCAGGGAUAGCCCGGUGAAAACCGGAUUAAGACCUGAUAGUUUCACUAGAUGGCAUCUGACGGUGAAUAAAGGUUUCGGCAAGGGAUGGGGAUGCGUCUGAUUAGCUUGUUGGCGGGUAACGGCCCACCAAGGCGACGAUCAGUAGGGUUCUGAGAGGAAGGUCCCCCACAUUGGAACUGAGACACGGUCCAAACUCCUACGGGAGGCAGCAGUGAGGAAUAUUGGUCAAUGGGCGGAGGCCUGAACCAGCCAAGUAGCGUGCAGGAAGACGGCCCUAUGGGUUGUAAACUGCUUUUGUGCGGGAAUAAAGUCAGGGACGCGUCCCUGUUUGCAUGUACCGCAAGAAUAAGGACCGGCUAAUUCCGUGCCAGCCGCUGC
rnacentral:rRNA from 1 species